rnacentral:tRNA from 1 species
UCCCAGAUGGCUCAGUUUUAAAGAAACUGCCUGCCAAGCAGGAGAUGCAGGUUCAAUCCCUGAGUUGGGAA